rnacentral:rRNA from 1 species
UCGAGAAUCUUCGGCAAUGAGCGCAAGCUUGACCGAGCGACGCCGCGUGCGGGAUGAAGGCCUUCGGGUUGUAAACCGCUUUGGUCCGAAAGAAAGGGUAAAACUUGAUCGAUCGGAGAAACAAGGACGGGCUAAGUUCGUGCCAGCAGCCGCGGUAAGACGAACCGUCCAAACGUUAUUCGGAAUCACUGGGCUUAAAGGGCGCGUAGGCGGCCGAGCGGGUCGUGGGUGAAAUCCUCCAGCUUAACUGGAGAACUGCUUACGAUACCACUGCGGCUCGAGGAAGGAAGGGGUCAUGGGAACUGUCGGUGGAGCGGUGAAAUGCGUUGAUAUCGACAGGAACGCCUGUGGCGAAAGCGCAUGACUGGUCCUUUUCUGACGCUGAGGCGCGAAAGCCAGGGGAGCAAACGGGAUUAGAUACCCCUGUAGUCCCUGAGCGGGCUGGCAAGGCGCAU